rnacentral:rRNA from 1 species
CCUACGGGUGGCAGCAGUGGGGAAUAUUGCACAAUGGGGGAAACCCUGAUGCAGCGACGCCGCGUUAGUGAAGAAGUAAUUCGUUAUGUAAAGCUCUAUCAGCAGGGAAGAAAAUUACGGUAGCUGAGUAAGAAGCCACGGCUAACUCCGUGCCAGCAGCCGCGGUAAUACGUAGGGGGCAAGCGUUCUCCGGAUUUACUGGGUGUAACGGGAGCGUAGACGGCAGUGCAAGUCUGGAGUGAAAGGCGGGGGCGCAACCCCCGGACUGCUCUGGAAACUGUACGGCUGGAGUGCAGGAGAGGUAAGUGGAAGUACUAGUGUAGCGGUGAAAUGCGUAGAUAUUAGGAGGAACACCAGUGGCGAAGGCGGCUUACUGGACUGUAACUGACGUUGAGGCUCGAAAGCGUGGGGAGCAAACAGGAUUAGAUACCCCAGUAGUC